UACGUAGGGUGCGAGCGUUGUCCGGAAUUAUUGAGCGUAAAGAGCUCGUAGGCGGUGUGUCACGUCGGCCGUGAAAACCUGGGGCUUAACUCUGGGCGUGCGGUCGAUACGGGCAUCACUAGAGUUCGGCAGGGGAGACUGGAAUUCCUGGUGUAGCGGUGAAAUGCGCAGAUAUCAGGAGGAACACCGGUGGCGAAGGCGGGUCUCUGGGCCAUUACUGACGCUGAUGCACGAAAGCUAGGGGAGCAAACAGG
rnacentral:rRNA from 1 species